CAGUUCUACAGGGUGACUCUGAAGACUGCUGGCUCUGCUUGGAGACAUCACCAACACAAAUGAAAAUGUCCUCUCGUUACUGAAACCAGGGAGCCUCUCAUCAGGAGUAACAGUUCCACAGGGAAGUUGUGCUUGUGUGAAGAUUCCCACCAAUUUGAUGUGAAUUCUUGUCACUCUGCUGUGACGCUCUCUGACCUGAUUCUCGGGCCCUAUUCCUCUACACUGAAAACAAGGAUGCUGAACCAGAGAGCUCCAGUGAGAGCUGAUCCAAACCAGCAUGAGUCCCUUGGCAGGUUUGCUAGGAACCGAACUACAGGCUGCACUGGCAGUGUGAGAGCCGACCUCAGCUGCUUCCAAGAGCCAGAAAAACAAUAAGCAGGGGGGUUAAAAAUAGGUUACCCCUUAUUUUUAUUAAGCAAAUAUUUACCCCUACCCUUGUUUCUACAUCGGUCCAUUCAGACUCCGUACCAUCUGGUUGGGCAGGUGCUGCCGAGGAAGAUCUUCGUUUUCGCCUACAGAAAAAAGGGGAAACAAUAUGCAACAAUUAUUUUGUGUCCAGGAACAGGAACAAUGUUAAAAAUAGGGAAAUAUCACUACAUUCCUUCAGAUAAUGAAUGAUACAUUUCAUAGGAUGUUGUGUUCUGCAAGAAUAAGCAAGCUAAGAAAACAAUAGCCCUUGAUGGUCACUCACCCAGUUGGCGAUUCUUGUUUUAAAGUCUCAAUAUCGGUAAACUGAACAGAUUGUCCACCACCUCUUGUUUUGUAAACAUCACCCUGAAGUCAAGAGAAAAGGUCACCAUUACACUUUGAUAUCCCAAGUGAUAAAUGUUUCAAACUGAACUUGAGAUUCUCCAUAAACCAAUAAAGUCCCAUCCACAAAACCA